rnacentral:rRNA from 1 species
GCCCAAUUCAAGCCCAAACACUAACCCAAAAAAUUUUACCAACCACCCAAAACAUUUGCCUAAGCUAGUAGAUGCGAUCGAACCCAUCAAUUGACGCAAUAGUUAAAGUACUGUGAAGGAAAAAUGAAAAAUCAUGAAAUUAUAAACACAAAAAAUCAGAGAUAAUCCCACGUACCUUGUGCAUCAUGGUUUAGCAAGAAACUACCAGACAAAGCGCCCCUCUAGCCUGUCAUCCCGAAUAUAAGUGAUCUACUUCGUGGCAGUUAACUGAACGAACCCAUCUCUGUAGCAAUAGAGUGGGAAGACCGCGAAGUAGCGGCAAAAAACCAAACGAACUUAUUGAUAGCUGGUUAUCCGAAAAAUGAAUAUAAGUUCAUAUUUGGUAAACCCCCAUGCAACAUAAUAAAACCAUUUUACCAAAGUAUAAUCAGUGAGGGUACAGCCCCACUGAUUAGGGAUACAGCCCAAAAUAGUGAGAAAAUUUACACCACCUAACCCUGUAGGCCUUAAAACAGCCACCUAAAAAUAAAACGUCACAGUUAUAACCUUUUAAAACCACUAAAUAAAAUCUCCUACAACACAAUCGGAUAGUUCUACACAAAUGUAGAAGCACUAAUGCUAGAAUAAGUAAUUAGAAUAAAUUCUUACAAACAGAACUCAACUAAAAUUUCAACAGACCCAAAAAGGAACAAUGAUACCCAAUAUACUUCCCAUAAACUAAACUGUUAAACCGACAUAGGACUGUAACUUACCUAGACCAAAAACCUUAAAAGGAACUCGGCAACCACCCUCUCCAACUGUUUACCAAAAACAUAGCUUUUAGCUACGCCAAUAUUAAAAGUAACGCCUGCCCUGUGGAAACCCUAAACGGCCGCGGCAUAAAACCGUGCAAAGGUAGCACAAUCACUUGUCCCUUAAAUGAGGACCCGUAUGAAAGGCAAUAUGAGAGAGAACCUGUCUCCUAAGGUAGGCCAACGAAAUUGAACAGCCAGUACAAAAGCUGGCAUUUCCAAGCAAGACAAAAAGACCCCAUGGAACUUCAAUAGACCAUUAAUAGUAGUUAAUGUUAUAUUUUAGUUGGGACAACUAUAGAAAAAUUAAACUUCUAAACACAAUAAGACCAACAAGUCUAAUACAUAUGCUUGAUCCAGUCAAACUGAUUAAUGAAAUAAGCUACCCUGGGGAUAACAGCGCCACCUUCUUAAAGAGUCCAUAUCAACAAGAAGAUCUACGACCUCGAUGUUGGAUCAGGGUACCCAGAUGGUGCAGCAGCUAUCAAUGGUUCGUUUGUUCAACGAUUAAUACCCUACGUGAUCUGAGUUCAGACCGGAGUAAUCCAGGUCGGCCUCUAUCUGCUACUUAUGCUAUACCUAGUACGAAAGGAUCGUUAUAGCAGGGCCAAUGCUAAAAGUACGCCCUAAAAUAGUGCUGCAUAAAACUGAAGCACAUUAAAAUUGCCUACCCCAAAAUAAGGGGUAUGCUAAC